ACUUGAAUGACCGGCGGCACUGCAGCCAAAGGUCUUCACGGAGAGGAAGAGGGAGUACAGCUGAUGUCUGCUGUGUGGCAGGGUGCCGCGAGUCUUUAUCGGUAAAGAUUGUAUAGGCGGAUGCAGUGAUCUAGUCUCUUUGCAACAGAGUGGGGAACUGCUGACGCGCCUAAAGCAGAUUGGAGCUCUGCAGUAACCACAGAAGACACUUCAGUUAUCUCCACGGAGAUUUAUUUGUCCAGACUGUGAAACUCCUUGAUCAGAUGGAGUCUCACUCUGUCAUCCAGGCUGGAAUGCAGUGGUGCGAUCUCGGCUCACUGCAAGCUCCGCCUCCCGGGUUCACUCCAUUCUCCUGCCUCAGCCUCCCGAGUAGCUGGGACCACAGGCUCCCACCACCACACCUGGCUAAUUUUUUUGUAUUUUUUGUAAAGAUGGGGUUUCACCGUGUUAGCCAGGAUGGUCUCAAUCUCCUGACCUCGUGAUCCACCUGCCUCGGCCUCCCAAAGUGCUGGGAUUACAGGCAUGAGCCGCCACGCCUGGCCCAUUUUAAUCAUUUUUAAGUAUAUGAUUCAUUGGCAUGAAGUACAUUCACACUGCUGUGCAGUCAUCACCACCACCAUCUCCAGAACAUGUUUCUUCUUCCCAAACUGAAACUCUGUACUCAAUAAACACUAACUCCCUGUUUCCCCCUUUCCCCAGCCCCUGGCAACCACCCAAUUUGGCUGGGGUUUUUUUCAAUACUUCCCUAGAAAUCUGGUUUUUCAUGUAAUUCUCGUUCUUAUCCCUCCUUACAUUCUUACAUUCUUUUGUAGCUAUGGAACCAAGAACACUGUGUAUGGUGAAUAUUUAACAUAAUAACAUUAUCUGUCUUCUGUGAUCUUCCCAAUGCAUAGAUUCCAGUAUCUGGCUUAACUUUUUGAUUAUUCAUUUUGACUCAUUUUUCCCUAACACACUUUUGCCAAUUUUAAAAAAUCCUAUCAUUAUUACUGCUUUCCUCUGUAAUAUUUUCUAAUUAGCAAGGUAAAACUUAAUAUUAGCAGCUUCAAUUACUUGAGUGAGAGGAUGACUGAAAAUCAAAUUUUCCUAUUAUUCCAAAUCUGGUCAAUUUGUAAAUUUAAUAUAUAAAUUUGCCAACAACGAAAUAAUAAACAAUAAGCUUUAUUUCCAAAAAGAACAAAUGCUUUCAUUUUUAUUAGGCAAAAAUACUAAGUCAGUCUUUUUUUGAGACAGAGUCUCACUCUGUCACCCAGGCUGGAGUGUGGUGGCGUCAUCUUGGCUCAUGGCAACCUCUGCCUCCCAGUUUCAAGCGAUUCUCCUGCCUCUGCCUCCCGCGUAGCUGGGAUUACAGGCGCACGUCACCACGCCCAGCUAAUUUUUGUAUUUUUACUAGAGACGGGGUUUCACCAUGUUGGUCAGGCUGUUUUUGAACUCCUGACUUCAGGUGAUCUGCUCGCCUCAGCCUUCCAAAGUGCUUGGAUUACAGGCAUGAGCUACUGCACCUGGCCAUAAGUCAGUCUUUAACACUGACAGAAACAACUGCAACUGGCUCCAAAAUACUCUACAGCAAGCUGCAAGCCCACAAUUAAUUUAAUCAAAACAAAUAAAUUUGCUUCUUUUUGAACUUCUAAAAUCUUUCACUAGAGGGCUCAUGACUUGUUUAAAACUUAUUUCAAUACCCAAUGUAAGAAACCUUUCUAUUCUAAAAAUUAAAGCAGUGAAUCUGAAGAGCAGUCUGGCUUG
rnacentral:sRNA from 1 species